GGGUGAGUAACACGUGGAUAACCUACCUAUAAGACUGGGAUAACUUCGGGAAACCGGAGCUAAUACCGGAUAAUAUAUUGAACCGCAUGGUUCAAUAGUGAAAGACGGUUUUGCUGUCACUUAUAGAUGGAUCCGCGCCGCAUUAGCUAGUUGGUAAGGUAACGGCAUACCAAGGCAACGAUGCGUAGCCGACCUGAGAGGGUGAUCGGCCACACUGGAACUGAGACACGGUCCAG
rnacentral:rRNA from 1 species